GACGAACGUUGGCGGCGUGCUUAAUACAUGCAAGUCAACUGAAGCAGUGGUAGCAAUAUCGCUGUGGAGGUGGCGCACGGGUGAGUAACACGUAGGUAAUCUGCCUUCAGGUCUGGCAUAACUCCGGGAAACCGGGGCUAAUAGCAGAUGAUGCAGCGGCUCGACAUCGAGACAGUUGUUAAAGCUAUGGCGCCUGAAGAUGAGCCUGCGUCUGAUUAGCUAGUUGGCGGGGUAACGGCCCACCAAGGCAACGAUCAGUAGCUGGUCUGAGAGGAUGAUCAGCAACACAGGAACUGAGACACGGUCCAGAAUCCUACGGGAGGCAGCAGUAAGGAAUAUUGCUCAAUGGGAGAGAUCCUGAAGCAGCAACGCCGCGUGAGGGACGAAGGGCGUUUGCUUGUAAACCUCUGUAGUGAGAGAAAAAAAUCCCAAUCUGUGGGACAUGAUGGUAUCUCAAAAGUAAGCCCCGGCUAACUACGUG
rnacentral:rRNA from 1 species